GGAAUCGUACCCCAAACCGACACAGGUGGUCGGGUAGAGAAUACCAAGGCGCUUGAGAGAACUCGGGUGAAGGAACUAGGCAAAAUGGUACCGUAACUUCGGGAGAAGGUACGCUCUUGAUGGUGAAGUCCCUCGCGGAUGGAGCUGACGAGAGUCGCAGAUACCAGGUGGCUGCAACUGUUUAUUAAAAACACAGCACUGUGCAAAAUCGCAAGAUGACGUAUACGGUGUGACGCCUGCCCGGUGCCGGAAGGUUAAUUGAUGGGGUUAGCGCAAGCGAAGCUCUUGAUCGAAGCCCCGGUAAACGGCGGCCGUAACUAUAACGGUCCUAAGGUAGCGAAAUUCCUUGUCGGGUAAGUUCCGACCUGCACGAAUGGCGUAAUGAUGGCCACGCUGUCUCCACCCGAGACUCAGUGAAAUUGAAAUCGCUGUGAAGAUGCAGUGUACCCGCGGCUAGACGGAAAGACCCCGUGAACCUUUACUACAGCUUGGCACUGAACAUUGAACCUACAUGUGUAGGAUAGGUGGGAGGCUAUGAAGACGUGACGCUAGUUGCGUUGGAGCCGUCCUUGAAAUACCACCCUUGUAUGUUUGAUGUUCUAACUUAGACCCGUUAUCCGGGUUGAGGACAGUGCCUGGUGGGUAGUUUGACUGGGGCGGUCUCCUCCCAAAGAGUAACGGAGGAGCACGAAGGUGGGCUAAUCACGGUUGGACAUCGUGAGGUUAGUGCAAUGGCAUAAGCCCGCUUAACUGCGAGAAUGACGGUUCGAGCAGGUGCGAAAGCAGGUCAUAGUGAUCCGGUGGUUCUGUAUGGAAGGGCCAUCGCUCAACGGAUAAAAGGUACUCCGGGGAUAACAGGCUGAUACCGCCCAAGAGUUCAUAUCGACGGCGGUGUUUGGCACCUCGAUGUCGGCUCAUCACAUCCUGGGGCUGAAGUCGGUCCCAAGGGUAUGGCUGUUCGCCAUUUAAAGUGGUACGCGAGCUGGGUUUAGAACGUCGUGAGACAGUUCGGUCCCUAUCUGCCGUGGGCGUUGGAAGAUUGAAGGGGGCUGCUCCUAGUACGAGAGGACCGGAGUGGACGAACCUCUGGUGUUCGGGUUGUGUCGCCAGACGCAUUGCCCGGUAGCUAAGUUCGGAAUUGAUAAGCGCUGAAAGCAUCUAAGCGCGAAGCGAGCCCUGAGAUGAGUCUUCCCUGACGGUUUAACCGUCCUAAAGGGUUGUUCGAGACUAGAACGUUGAUAGGCAGGGUGUGUAAGCGUUGUGAGGCGUUGAGCUAACCUGUACUAAUUGCCCGUGAGGCUUAACCAUACAACACCCAAGGGGUUUUGUA
rnacentral:rRNA from 2 species